rnacentral:rRNA from 1 species
CCUGAACGCUGGCGGCGUGGCUAAGACAUGCAAGUCGCACGGGCGUAGCAAUACGCUAGUGGCGAACGGGUGAGUAAUGAAUCGCUAAUGUACCCCGGACUUUGGGUAGUAGCUAUCCGAAAGGGUAAGGGUAAUACCAGAUGACAUAACCGCACGGCAUCGUGUGGUUCUCAAAGGUCCGCCGGUCCGGGAGGCAGGCGAUUUCGUUAUCAGCUAGUUGGUGAGGUAACGGCNCACCAAGG